rnacentral:lncRNA from 1 species
AACAAAUGGGACUUACUUAAACUAAAAAGUUUUUUCACAGCAAGAGAAACAAUAGGAGAGGUAAAUAGGGAGCCUACAUCAUGGGAACAAAUUUUUACUCCUCACACUUCAGAUAGAGCCCUAAUAUCCAGAGUGUACAAAGAACUCCAAAAAUUAGACAAUAAGAUAACAAAUAACCCAAUCAACAAAUGGGCCAAGGACCUAAACAGACACUUCUCAGAGGAGGACAUACAAUCAAUCAACAAGUACAUGAAAAAAUGCUCACCAUCUCUAGCAGUCAGAGAAAUGCAAAUCAAAACCACCCUAAGAUACCAUCUCACUCCAGUAAGAUUGGCAGCCAUUAUGAAGUCAAACAACAACAAGUGCUGGAGAGGAUGUGGGGAAAAGGGUACUCUUGUACAUUGCUGGUGGGACUGCAAACUGGUGCGGCCAAUUUGGAAAGCAGUAUGGAGAUUCCUGGGAAAGCUGGGAAUGGAACCACCAUUUGACCCAGCUAUUGCCCUUCUCGGACUAUUCCCUGAAGACCUUAAAAGAGCGUACUACAGGGAUACUGCCACAUCGAUGUUCACAGCAGCACAACUCACAAUAGCUAGACUGUGGAACCAACCCAGAUGCCCUUCAAUGGAUGAAUGGAUUAAAAAAAUGUGGCAUCUACACACCAUGGAGUAUUACGCAGCACUAAAAAAUGACAAAAUCAUGGAAUUCGCAGGGAAAUGGAUGGCACUAGAGCAGAUUAUGCUUAGUGAAGCUAGCCAAUCCCUAAAAAACAAAUACCAAAUAUCUUCUUUGAUAUAAUGAGAGCAACUAAGAAUAGAGCAGGAAGGAAGAGCAGGAAGAAAAGAUUAACAUUAAACAGAGACAUGAGGUGGGAGGGAAAGGGAGAGAAAAGGGGAAUUGCAUGGAAAUGGAGGGAGACCCUCAUUGUUAUACAAAAUUACAUAUAAGAGGUUGUGAGGGGAAUGGGAAAAUAAACAAGGAGAGAAAUGAAUUACAGU